rnacentral:rRNA from 1 species
CGGGUGCGUAACGCGUAUGCAAUCUACCUUUUACUAGGGUAUAGCCCAGAGAAAUUUGGAUUAAUCCCCUAUAAUAUCAAUAAUUCGCAUGAAUUUUUGAUUAAAGCUUCGGCGGUAAAAGAUGAGCAUGCGUCCUAUUAGUUAGUAGGUGAGGUAACGGCUCACCUAGACAACGAUAGGUAGGGGUCCUGAGAGGGAGAUCCCCCACACUGGUACUGAGACACGGACCAGACUCCUACGGGAGGCAGCAGUGAGGAAUAUUGGACAAUGGACGAAAGUCUGAUCCAGCUAUGCCGCGUGCAGGAUGACGGCCCUAUGGGUUGUAAACUGCUUUUAUACAGGAAGAAAAACUCCGACGUGUCGGAGCUUGACGGUACUGUAAGAAUAAGGAUCGGCUAACUCCGUGCCAGCAGCCGCGGUAAUACGGAGGAUCCAAGCGUUAUCCGGAAUCAUUGGGUUUAAAGGGUCCGCAGGCGGUUUUUUAAGUCAGAGGUGAAAUCCUGCAGCUCAACUGUAGAAUUGCCUUUGAUACUGAAGGACUUGAGUUAUUGUGAAGUGGUUAGAAUGUGUGGUGUAGCGGUGAAAUGCAUAGAUAUCACACAGAAUACCAAUUGCGAAGGCAGAUCACUAACCAGAUACUGACGCUCAGGGACGAAAGCGUGGGUAGCGAACAGGAUUAGAGACCCUGGGAGUCCACGCCGUAAACGAUGGAUACUAGCUGUAUGUCUACCUCAGGUAGAUGUGUGGCC